AGAUGGGAUCUCACCCUUUUGCUCGAGCUGAAGUGCAGUGGCGCAAUCAUGGCUCACUGCAGGCUCAACCUCCCGGCCUCAAGCCAUACUCCCACCUCAAGCUCCUGAGGAGCUGGGACUAUAGGCACGUACCAACACUCCUCAAUACUUUUCCUUUGUAUUUUUUAAUAGAGAUGGGGUCUUGCCAUGUUGCCCAGGCCGGUUUCAAACUCCUGACCUCAAGUGAUCCACCUGCCUUAGCCUCCCAAAGUGCUGAGAUUAUAGGCAGUUCAUUCUUUAUAAUUUCUGAGAAAAUUAGUUUUUAAGCUCAUCUUUUUUUUUUUAAUCACAACAGCAUAAAGAAUCUCAUUACAGUGAGUUAGGAUUGCCUAGGGAUUAUACGUGUGGGCUCCAAGUCUGAAUGCCUGGGUAUAAACCACAGCUGCCACUUCCUGGCUGUGGACCUCUAGCAAUUUACUCAUUCUAUUCAACUCAUCUGAAAAGGAGAUAGAAUUAUAUUUCAGCCCAAUGAAAUCCCUCCCUGUCCACCGAUCCAUAAUAGCAUCCCUGAUGUACACAUGACAACAUUUCAGAAUAUUUUCUGUCAGUACUAGGAAAACAGAAGUCCUUGUAAUGAAUGGUUGGACACAAGACCAUUUAAAGAUUAAUUCUUAACAGUUAUGCUUGAGAAUGCAGGAUAAGACCUUGCCAGAUUUUCUUCUUCUGUUAAUGUAAGGGUAUGAAAUAUUUCUAAAAUAUUUUAGCCAAUUCAUAUAUUUUAAAUACUUUAUUUCCAACAAUGAGAUGGCAUUUACAAUACACAAGUCACAAAUUUCACCAGUAAAAACUCCUUUCAGACUUUUCUUAAGCUAACUAGUAAAGCCUAAGAUAUUAUUCAAGAUACUGGGAAGAGAAGUGCUCAUAGAAGCCACUUGUGCAGUGUAGGUUUUUGAUGUAACACAGGUUAAGUUUGACAGGAUGUCUCAAUGCAGAAGUCAGUAAUAUCAUUAUUGCCCUAAUUCUGAAAACUAUACUUUUAGUGUGGAUAAUAUUAUUAAUUUUGUAUUUGUAGUCAUAUUCUACUAUGUUCCCAUAUAAAUUUAGAGUAAUUAUAUGUUUAUGCAUUUUAUCUUCAACAAACAUAAACGUAGAUGAACGAGAUUAAAAGUAAAAGUUCUUUAACUGGGGAUAUGAUCCCCAGCUUCUUUUACACUGUGUAGCAUCCAGUGCCCAACAGUACAAAAGGUAACAUAGGUAUCUAAUACUAUUUAAUACAUUCCUUUCCGAUUAACUUAGGUUGAGUGAAUUCUGUUGUCUGCAACUGAGAACCCUUACAGAUAUAAUUUGGAAGGGCAGUAUUCUGUACAACUCUGAUAAAGAUCUCUAUUUGGUUUGGCCUCAAUCAAUUUAUAUGCCUUCACUGAGUACACAUAAUACAUCAGUUUUGAGUGCACUUGAGAAAUAAAAAUAUGUACUACAAAAUAUGUUAGCACCCAGACCAUAUUUCUUCAAUAUUACAAAAGACUGGGUCAAAUGCUUGCUUCUUUCGAUCAAAAAUACACUUUCAACAGUAGUCUCCUGGCCUUCCAUUUGAGUGAUCCACCAAGAAAACAAAUUAGGCCAGGCCGGUGGCUCACGCCUGUAAUCCUAGCACUUUGGGACGCCAAGGCAGGCAGAUCACCUGAGGUCAGGAGUUUGAGACCAGCCUGGUCAACAUGGUGAAACCCCGUCUCUACUAAAAAUACAAAAAUUAGCUGUGCGCAGUGGCAGGCACCUGUAAUCCCAGCUACACGGGAGACUGAGGCAGAAGAAUCACUUGAACCCAGGAGGUGGAGGUUGCAGGGAGCCAAGAUCGUGCCACUGUACUCCAACCUGACAGAGUGAGACUCUGUCUCAAAAAAAAUGCCUCUCUCCAUAGGCUAUCCAUCUGAGAAUGUUUUAAAAUAGCUGUAGAAAUCACCUUUAUUUCUUUUAACAAAAUCAGUUCAGUAUGUGUUUUUCUUCAGUCUUCCAAAGUUUCUUAAGCUUACCAUGGUGGUGUGGCAUUCUCUCCUAUUAAGAUUUCCCUCAUUGGGAUAGAAUUAUUUUGGAAAAGGAGGCAUACACUCAUGUUAGAACACCGAGAAACCUGCUUACUUGCAGGUUCAGUUUAGUUUUCAAAAAAUAGUUAGAAACCUGCUUUCAAUUUCUUGACCUAAUAUCAGCCUUUCUUUCCCUCGACCUUCUCAGUUAAAAAGAUGAUUUUCCUGGUCAGAGAAGCUUAAAUCAAAAAAAAAAAAAAAAAUUUGAAUAAUUCUUCUCUUUGUUGAAAAAUGUGUCAAAAAUAUUUACAGUGUUUAUUCCCUUUAUUUACAAUUCAUAGCCAGUUAUAUGAUUGGACAUCCCACUAUAUUAAGUUUUGAUACUUUGAUAUAGAAAGCCUUCAGUUUUUUUUACUCUUCAGUAUUGUGUUGGCUAUUCUAAUCCUUUGGUCUCUCCAUAUAAACUUUAAAAUCAGUUUGUCAGUAUCUACAAAGUUGCAUGCAUGCUGGAUUUUGAUUGCAUUUAAUCUAUAAAUCAAUUGGGAAAAUUGACACUUAUAUUGGGUCUUCCAAGCCAUAAAUAUGGAAUUUAUCUCCAUUGAUUUAGAUCUUUAUUGAUUUCUUCUUAUUAGAGUUUUGUAUUUUUGCACAUAUAAUCUAAUACAUAUUUUAUUAGAUUUAUACCUGAAUAUGUGAGUUUUGGUGCUAUUAUAAAUGAUUUUUAAUAUCAAAUUCCAGUUACACGUUCCUGGUAUUGAGGUAAGCUAUUGACUUUAGUAUAUUAACCCUAUAUCAUGCAAAGUGUUGUAACUGCACAUUAGUUCCAGGCAUUUUGUUGUUCUUGAUGGCUCCUCAGAAUUUUCUGUAUAGACAGUCAUGUUAUCUGUGAACAGUUUUAUUUUAUUUCUCUACCAAUCCAUAUAACUUUUCCUUUUUUCUGUCUUAUUAUACUAGCUAGGAUUCCAGUAUGGUCUUGAACAGGAGUGAUGAUGGGAAGGUAAAUCUUUGCCAUGUUCCUGAUCUUAUGGGAGAGCACCUAAUUUCUCACCAUUGUGAUGUUACCUGCCCCUCUUUACUCUUGAUAAUUUUCCUUGUCCUGAAUUCCACUUUAUGUAAAAUUAAUAUAACUCCUCCUGCUUUCUUCUGUUUAGUAUUAGCAUGGUAUAUUUUUCUCCAUCAUCCCUUUAUUUAAACCAAUCUCAGCGUUUCUACUUUUAAAGUAGGUUUCUAAUAGAAAACAUAUAGUUGGUUUUUUUACCCACUUUGACAAUCACUGUCUUAGUUGAUGUAGUUAAACCAUUCAUGUUUAAAGUGAUUAUUGGUCAAUUUUGAUUGAUAUCUACUAUAAAUGUUUUAUAUCUACUUGUAACUGUUUUCUAUUUAUGACACUUGUUCUUUGUUUUUGUUUUUCUUUUCUUCCUUUCUGUAUUAGUUUCCUAGGGCUGCCAUAACAAAUUGCCAUAAACUCGGUGGCUUAAAACAAUAGGAAUUUAUUCUUUCGCCAAUCAGUAGGCCAUAAAACCAAAAUAAAUAUGUCAACAUGGUUGUUUCCUGCAGAGGCUCUAAAGGAGAGGCUAUCCCAUUCUCUCUCCAAGUUUCUGGUAGUUUCCAGCAAUUCUUGGUGGUCCUUAGCUUGUAGAUGUAUCACUCCAAUCCUUGCCCUCAUUUUUCACAUUGCCUUCUGUGAGUCUCUCUGCAUCCUUUCCUCUUCUUAAAGACACUAGUCAUUGUAUUCAUGGCUUAUCCUAAAUCCAGCAUGAUUUCACCUCAAAAUUCUUAACUAAUUACAUGUGCAAAGACCCUAUUCCCAAAUGAGAUCACAUUCUGAGAUUUUGAGUAGACAUAAAUUUAACAGAAACACUAUUCAAACUACUACAUUUCACUCUCUGAUCAACCAAAAUUAUAUCUAUCACAUAUGGAAAUUCAUUCACCUCAUUCCAAAAUUCCGAAAGUUGAAAUCCAUCCCAGCAUCAAUUCUAAAUUAAAAAUUUUAUCUAAAUAUUAUCAAUUCAAAAGUUUUAAAUAUCAUCAUCUAAAUAAGUUAUCCAUGACUCUUGGUAUGGUCCAUCCCAGGGCUAAAUUACUCUCCAUUUGUGGACCAGUGAAAUUGAAGAGGAGGCAGGACUCCAUUCUGGACCAUAUUGAAGAUUGGCUGAAACAGAGAAGAGGCACCAAAAGCACUUCUCCAUAAGACAUGCCCACCAGUGCCAUGUCAGUUUACCACUGCCAUGGCAACACCCAGAAGUUAUUGUCCCUUGCUAUGGCAAUGACCUGGAAGUUACAACCUAUUUUCUAGAAAUUUCUGAAUAGCCCAUCCCUUAAUUUGCAUGUAAUAAAAAUUGGGCAUAAAUAUGACUGCAGGACUUCUGAUCUGCUACUCUUCAUGCUGCCUGUGGGGCAGCUCUGCUCUGCAGGAGCAGUCAUGGAGCUGUAACACUGCCACUUCAAUAAAGCUGUUUUCUUCUAUUACUAGCUCACUCUUGAAUUAUUUCCUAAGCAAAGCCAAGAAGCUUCCUGGGCUAAGCCUGCUCUGCAUCAAGUAGUGCCCAAUGUGGAGCUGAGGAGAGAAGACGAUGGUGUGACAGAUGGUGAGAGAAUUGGCAGUUGGCAGUCGGCAAGGCAAAGGCAAAGGUAAGAGAGGAGAAGAGACAGUGAUCGGUGAGAGGAUGACUAGAGAAGCGAUGAGCAGAGAGAUGGAGCAAGAUGGUGAUAGAGAGAGAUGGUAAAGCAGUCGGUGACCGAGGCUGCAAGAGCUGUAACACUGUGGCUAUAAUAUCAAAGAGCUGUUAACAUUGCAAGAGCUAUAACAUUAACCAAAGCCUCUUUUUAGAGCUAUCAUUUUUCCUAGCAGGCAGCAGAGCUGAGUGAAUGGGAAAGUGGCUGUAGUGCCACUGCCUUGUAGGAGACCCACUGCUCUGACCCACAGGCAGAUGGGUUACCGGUUUGGUGGCAGCCUCUCCCACCACGACAGCCGAGUCCACCCAAACUGGGGAACCUGAAGAGAACUUUACCAGCGUCCCACAUGGAUGAUCAGUUGCUGUCAUUUUGGCUCCUGUGGAGGGGGCCAUUUGAUUGAAGCACUCAAGAAAUAUACUAAUACAGACCAAGACUUCCUGGAAGGAUGAGCUCUCCUGGGUGUGCAUUUUAUUACUCAAUCUGCCUACGACAUUUGGAGGAAGCUACAAAAGGUAGCAAUGGGACCCCAAACCCCCCUGAGCCAAAUCUCAGACAGUGCCCUGGGGACAGGGCAGAGGAAAAGGUGAAAAUCAAAAGAAUUGGCCAAAAAGCACAAUUCUUAGUGGCUGCUUUAGGCUCCCUGCUGCCUUGGGGUUGCCUACCCUGAGGAAAUGUGGUGAGAUCAGCAUCUGGGAUGCUCAGACAAGAGCCCUCAAAUUGCUGGCUUCUAGGCCAAACUCAGUGUACUUCUAUAAGGUAGGUAGAGGGGCACUGGAGGAAGGACUGCUCCAGGUUUAAAAGGGAGUCUAAGCAGGAGGCUUAGGCACGAGAAUUGCUUGAACCCAGGAUGUGAAGUUUGCAGUGAGCCAAGAUUGCACCACCACAAUCCAGCCUGGGUGACAAAAAAAAAAAAGUCUAAGCCAUCCAGACCCAUAAUACCCAAGAAAGCAGAGGAUCCAUGGAGACCAACGUCCUCCACAGAUACUACUGGACACCUUACCAUCUCCACAGAGGAGUCUCAGGUAAGUUUUUAUAUGGCAGGCAAAAAUAUUGAGUUCUUAUUCGACAUGAGAGCAGCCUACUCAGUUUUUACCCAUUUCUAAGGCCUGCAGUCUUUCCACUCUUGUAUGGUAACAGGGAUUGAUGGCCAGCCAAAAAUGAGGAGAUUUACCCAACCCCUUGGUUGUCCUUUGGGGAUACCAUACAUUUUUCCACAAGUUUUUGCUUAUACCUGUAUGCCCUGUCCCUAUACUGCAGAGAGACUUACUUUCCCCAUUACAGGCCAUAGUUCAAUUUGGUCUGACUCAUGAAAAGGCAGUAGGCCAGGACUAGACACUACUCCUAGCUGUAAGUACUAGCCUUAACACAGACAAGAAGAAGAGCUCCCUUCCAUGGAAAAUUGCUUCUUAGGUAGACCCCUCUGUCUGAGACAUGGAAGUCCCUGGUAGAGCUGUUAAUGUACCCCCAGGCCAGGUUAUUUUAAAACCCAGUGUUAAUUACCCAUGGAAGAUAUAGUAUCCUUUGAGACCUGAGGCUCAGAAGGACAACCAGCCCUUGAUAAUGAAGUUCCUAAGUAUGAAUUAUCACAAUUCUGUCAGUCUCCAUGUAACACCUCCAUUUUAUCUGUAAAGAAACCAAAUGUAGAAUAUAGAUUUGUUAAGGAUCUGAGAGCAGUUAAUGAGACAGUAGUCACAGUCUACCUAGUAGUUCCUAAUCCUUAUACAAUAUUGACCCAAGUCAAUAGGGGUCUGAGUACUUUGGGAUUAUUGUGGUUAGUUAGGAAGUCUAGGGAGAUGGCUGUGAGAUUCCCUGGAUAGGCCUGAAGGUGGAACCUUCUAUCUUGCGGAUGUUGAUGACAAAUCUGACACCAUGAAGAUGACUCUCUGAUGCUAUAAGUUUUGAAAUAUUUACUAUAGGGUUUGUUCCCACCCAUACUAGAUCAAGGUAAUUGGCAGAGCAAGCAAGAUUAACAGUGACAGCUUGGUGUCUGGUUGGGCCUUAGAGUAGCCUCUAUACCCAACAAAGGCAAAAGAGGUGUUUCCUUGGAGGGGGCAGUUGACUAACACAAUAGAAAGUAAGUAUUGCAAUAAGGAAAAAGAAAAAUUAAUGCUCCCAUUCCCACCCACAGCAUCAUGGUUAUCACUUCUGGCUGAGUGUUGAUUCUUUUAAACAGGUAACAGAGGUCUUCAAAGGUUCACAAUGUAGGUCGUGAUGCCCUCCUUUUUGUUCCUGCAACUCAUAAGAAACAGGUUUUAUCCUGGAUAGGUGUACCAAAUUAGUUACCCCUUUAGUUUAACAGCAGUGCAAAUAUGCAACGAUGUGUGAUAUGGGCCCUUCCAUGUCAGUUGUAAUUGAUCAUCAGGGGAUUCUUGUUUCCAAGUUUUCAGUAAGAUUAUGUCUCCUGGUUGAAUUGGGGGGGUGGAUGUUAAUUCUUUCCUUUGUAGGUGGGAACUAUAUUUUAUUUCCAUAUGAUUGAAGGGCCUUUUGGUGCUGGCCUAAGGUGAUAAUAUGGGUGGGCAUUCUAUGUGUGUCCUCAUUAAACAGGAGGUCUACAGUUAAAAAGGGCCUACCGUAAGUCAUUUCAAAUAGACUAAGUUUUAGAGUUCCCUUCAGAGCCAUUCUCACACGUAAAAGGUCUAUGUGUAAAGGAGAGACCCAGGCCUCUGAAGUUAAAUUGCCUCAAAAGGCUUUGAGAAAACAAGAAAGCUAAGUUGAUGUCUUUGGGUUUGUGAUUUCAAGGAAUCACCAACCCAAGCGAAUUAGGGGAGCCAGGCCUAGAAGGUACCCUGGGAGUCAUCAUGAGAAAAUCCUGGAAUGGGUAUACAAGAACACAGGGCAGGAAGCUGGGUCUGUACUAAGACCGCCCAUUCCAUCCAGAGACUUAUGUGCUCUGGCUGGCUUAAACUACAAGUUAUUGGAAUUCACCUGGAUGAGGAAUGUCCUUACCUUAAGUCAGGAUGGAAUACUUACUGAGAGUGGUUUUUAUAAAAGUAAAUAUUAUUUCUUCUCAAGCAUCUGAAUAUAAUUUAACAUAUGGUGAACGGACUUUUUCUUCUGGUUUCUUGGAAGAAUUGAUUUGCUUUAAAUGAUGAAAUGUUAUACCAGUAGCAGCUCACAAUUGCACAACUGGGACUGUUAAUUGGGAUUAGUGAAAUAAUUUAGGGGGAUCUCAUCCUAGUCUCAACCAACUAGAAAAAUCUCUUCUCCAGCCAUUAUUAUUGUUGUUGCACUCUUGUCGGAUGACCACUUUUCUAUUUCACUGAUGCACCCCCUUCCAAUUACCGUUGCUACUUUUUUGUUGUUUUCUCCGAGUUUCUACGUUAUUACUACUCAAUAGGGUUGAGGUUUUCCUCAGCACUUUUCUGAAUAAGAAACCUCAGUUUACUGUGAGAAGCUUAAUAAUAGGAAAAUUGAGCUCGCAGAGAGCACUUUUCAGCUUUCCGAUGCUUAAUGUUGUUUGUCAGGUUCUCACUAGAUGAAUAUGAUGAGGCUUUUAAAACCCAUUAGCUUUCCAAGAGCAUUCCCUUUUCUUCCUUGGAUUCAGAUCAUUUUCACACUGUUUUCUUCCAGGAGUGGCACCAGUAACAAGGGAAUCAGCUCUAAACUGAGUUCCUGAAAUUAAGCUCAUUAGAAACAUUCUUCUCUUAGUAAACCUUGAUUUUAUAUCCAGCUAUUUACAGAAAUCUCAAUUUCAGCUUUUCUCAGAUACAAUUUUUAUCAAAAUCUGGAUAAUACUUCAUCUAUACUUUCAGUCUCAUAAAUUAUGUUAUAUUUAAAAGCAUUGAGAGUAAAAGCACUUUCCUCUUGUGAAGAAGUUACGACUGUAUUUUUAGAACAUGGAGUUUAAGAAUAUUAUAAUAAAGGAAGUAGAAUUACUUUUAAAAGAUUAUGACUAAUGAUCUUUACAAAAUCUAAAUGGAAUACUUUGUUGUGACGUUCAGUUGUCUUUCAUGUUCAUAUAGUUUGCUAUUAAUUGUGUAGGAGGGUCAUAUUGUCAUAAUAAGUGACUGAGGGACAGUAUGUUAUAAUAUUAAGCAGACCAGGAAAGUGUUCUACUGCCCUUGGAAAAUGAACGUAUGCUACAUAUGCGAUGGUGACCUUAACGUGUGUACAUUUGUAAACGUACAGUUUAAGAUUGCUUUUGAAAUACAUAUUUUUGGAGUAUUAGUUACAUGAAAGUCAAAAGUUAAAUGCAAAAUUUCAUGGAGGGGCUUCCCGUCCAUUCUGUAAUGCCGAGACUUCUCUCCUCUGUUCAGCUAGGAUAUUCUAGACUUUCUGGUACAUUCUGAUUAUAUAUUAUGGUAGUAAAAGUACCCACAUGAGAAUUAUACAAAUUUGAUUCUCACGUGAACCAUCUGUAUAGGUUAUUUUCAUACAGACCAUGUGGUAGGUUAUGUUAACUCUGUAAGCCUCAACUUCCCCAUAAGGGGAAUUGGGGUGAUCAUGUUCACCUCACAGUUUCAUUAUACAGAUAGAUGGCAGAAUAUUUAAAGCUUAUAUUAAUAGGCAGCCACUCUUAUAUUCAGUACCUAAAAUAUUGUAGUUGCUUAAAUAUGUCUAUGGACUUGAAUAUUGUAGGCAGCACACAACUUUAUGCCCAUAUUUUUUUUUACAAUAUAGCUAAAAGUAUUUCUGAAGUUUUAUUUCAAGUAUCUGUGAUUUACAGAUUACCUAGAGGUGGCAUUCCUAACAUAUAGAUGAGUAUACUCAUUACAUCCUGAAAGUUUAUUCAGUAUAUUCCCACAUAAAUUUGAUACAAACUGUGGUUAAAUUUCUAGAUUACAUCACAGAAAACUAUAGCAUCCAUAAAAUAGCUGAAAUCAUAUUGUUACAGUAGGUGGCUAGUAAGACAUGAGGAGGGCAGGAGAGAGGGCCACCCCUUGCCCAACCACGAAUGUCAGGUGACCAUCAGGUGAUGAUCAGACAGCUGUUAAGCUGUCUCUCUAAGAUAAUAAUUGGUUGCAGCUGGCGCCAGGACAAGUCAGUGUUUCAAUAGAGAGAUAAAACCUGAAGCUGGUGAUCAUAAGCUUCCCAGUAAGAUCUCAGGAGUCGGGCCAAUGGGCUCAAGCAUCCACACUAAGAGGCAAAAUGGUGGUUUAAGCACUUGACUGGUAAGAGAAAAAGGACUCAAUUGUGCAUGUGGGUCCUCCCAAGUGCUGACAGUCCACUGUGCAUGCAGACAGCCCACCCCAAGGGAAGAAUUAGAGGAGAAGGAAUGCAAGACCCUAGAAGCAUGACAAUGUCUAAAACCCCAGUUCAAAGGUCAAACAAUGCACUUGAAUCUCUCAAGUCAUUCACUUUGCCCUCUUCCAAGUGUUCUUUACUUCCUUUCAUUCCUCCUCUAAAGCUUUUUAAUAAACUUUCACUCCUGCUGUAAAACUUGCCUUAAUCUCUCACUCUGCCUUUUACGCCCCUCUGUCUGAGGAGGCAAGAAUUGAGGUUGCUGCAGGCCUGUACCGAUUUGCCAUCACUAACAAUGGUAGUUUACCUAAUGCACCAAAUCCAUUAAUCUUGAGAGCCCUAGUUUACUGUGAGUAUAUAUGCCUUGAAGGUUUAGCUAACCCUGAUGACCACUGAGCCCUCGUGGAUAUGGUUUUCCUCCUUGAGAUUAUGAGUGCAGCAAAGUGCUCUGGAGAAAUUGGUAAGAGAGAAGGAAGAAGAAAGAAAACUUCAACAGAACACCUACUGGAAGAAAUUUGGAGACUGUUGAGAAAGGGUCUGAGCAAAGGUAGAACUAAUUUAAAAGAAUUAUAUUAUACACCCAUGUUCAUAGCAGCAUUGUUCAAAGUAGCCAAAAGAUGGAAGCAACUCAAGUUUUCAUCAACAGAUGAAUGCAUAAACAAAAUGUACUGUAUAUACAUACAAUGAACUAUUACUCAACCUUAGAAAGGAAAAGGAUUCUGACACAUGCUACAACACAGGUGAAAUUUGAAGACAUUAUGCUAAGUGAAAUAAAUCAAUGGUGAAAAGAAA